GACUCCAUAGCUCAGUGGUUAGAGCAUGCGAUUGCAGCAAUGCAAUCCCAUCCAUCGCAGGGUCCCGUGUUCAAAUCACGGUGGGGUCU